AGAUGGGCACGGAUGUUAGCUCAGGGCCAGUCUUCCUCAGCAAAAAGAGGGGGAUUGGCAGCAGUUAGGUCAGGGCUAAUCUUCCUCAAAAAAAGAAAAAAAAAGAGCAUAAGGUAAGUGACAUUUCUUGCUCACCUGACUCCCUGGAGUAAGAGACACCAGUGGAGAGGACAGGGAGCCAAAGGCUGUGCAGACACGGGGUGUUCAAGGUUUGCCCCACGGGCCGUAAAGCCAUGGGUGUCCAAGUGGCCACUCCUGGGGGCCGGCAGGGCAGCUCUGCUCAGUGGAGGGUUUGCAGGGUGUGUGUACGCGUGCCCCCAAAACCCCAGUGACCCGGAGUGCUCCGGCCUCUGUCCCCUGGAGCAGGUCCACGGUACGAUGGUACCAGGCCUCCCUGUUGGGGCUCACUAAAUGCUUGUUGAGUGAAUCCAUGAAUGAAUGAAUGAACGAUGUGGACCAGGGCCGUGCACAGGAUGCUCACUCUCUCAAGGACUUUCCUGGUACAGCCCCUGCAGCUAGCAGAGGUAUAAAGACAGUGGUACAGACCGCCCGUCUACACUGCAGCAGACGAGCCCUACCCAGGCACAGCCCUCAGGACCACAGGACGGCAGAGAGCCUGGCCGUUCUGGGGGCCUGCCCAGAAGAGUCUGGCUCCGGGUGGCAUGUCCCUGUGGAUGAUGACGCGGUUGUUAUUUAUGGGACUAGAGCAGAGCAAAGACAAACAUCCCGCUGGUACAUCCUGGUUGGGCCACAUCCAGGGAACCAGCUGCCCAAAGUGUUUAAAAGGCCCUUCCGGGAGGGGCUGGAGCCAGUCCAUGGCCUGAGGUGGAGGUCACGAUGGGCCUCGUGCCACUGCAGGGCUGACCUGUGGGGGAAGGACCGUUCCUUCCUGAGGACGAGUCGCCGCCCUCCUCCCUGGGUUCGCCCCCUCUUCACACUGCCUGCAGUAGCCAUGCCUUGGAGGGUGGUGAUGGCAGGGCUGGCGCUCCUGAGCUCCAGUCUCUGACUCUGCCUGCACCGUACCAUCCCCGGUGCUUCAGAUCCCAGGUUAGGGCUGGGGUGUGGCUUCCGGGUGUGAUGGGGAAGGAGUACCUCCCAACCCUGAAAGGACAGACAGGUUUCUCUGAGUGGAGUCACCAGCCAUGCAUGGUAGCUGAUGCACUGCCUGUGUCUGCUGCCCCUCCUGGCCCCGUGGCACCUGCCCAGCCAGCCUUGGGCAGGAGCACCCGCUGGCAUACCGAGAGCUGCCAAUGAGGCUCUCAGACAGCUUGGCCAAGGCCAGGUAGGUGCAAGGUGAGAUCCCCAGAGGUGCAGACAUCCAGGGGAGCUGCACACGUGCCGUCCUCCCCUUGCAGGCCAAAGGAUGGAAAGGCAAUCCCAAAGACACUGCUGUUAGGGCUGGGAGCCUGCCACCCCACCACCGUGCUCCAGGGGAACCAGGCACAACCCCCAGCCCCCUCCGCCCCCUUCCUAUGAUCCCUGGGGCAUGUGGCCAUGCAGCAGGGCCCCUGGGGAUUGGUGAGGCAACCAGACGGGCACAGCCAAUGCCUGACUUCUUCCUUAAACUUCCAACCCUAACACAGUCAGAUUUACCUAGUUGGCCUGAAAAAAGUUCAAAAUGUGGGACUUCAGCUUUUCCUGAAAUUGGAGCCCUGGUAGCUCAGUCUCAAGAAAACCCUAUGUGGGAUUCCAGGUCUGGGGCGGGUCUCGGGGCCCUCUCCCAGCAUUCCAUUAAUUCUCCCAUCAACCUCUCCAUCCCUGAGGCCCGGAGCAGCUCUUCCUCCGGGACUUCUGCCAUUCGGGGUUCCCUCCAGGCGCCCGCCGGGGCCGUGGCUGCAGGCAAGGCUUCCCGGAGGAGGGGCCUGCGGGGCCACUGGCCCUCCUGGCUCUUCUGUGGGGGCCCUCUUUGCCCAGCAUCAGAACCUGUCAUGUUUCAACCUAACGCACCCCGCCGGGCCCUCUCCCCACACGCCGCAGAGCAUACAUUUGUUGUCAAUACAAUUUUAUUCCGUUUGAGGUGGAAUCCAUGGGAGCCGGAAGCACGUUGGGGCCACGGCUAGCAGGGGUCACAGCGACUAGUCCAGGACGUGCAGGGCCUGAGCGGUGGGUAAGCCACUUAAGAAACAAAACAAAAUACAGAGAACAAAUUGCUUGCCAUGGACGUCAGUAAUCUCUUGGUAGUGGUGAAAUUUCAUUGUGUUCCCUUUAAACAACAAACACCUGUUCUCUUUAAGCCAAAGGUGCUGGAGAGAAGAUGGCCAUGUGACUUGAUCUCUCUUUGAACCUGAAAUGUCACCUUCCUACCUAGAAAUUCAGCAUGACGUGUUUCAAGGGCCAGAGGACAGCAGGCUGUCUGCACCCCCGCCCUGCUCCCCACAGGCCCAGGGACGCCCCCGCCUCCUGGGCUCCACGGUGCUGAUCCAGGAGGCCAGUUUGGCUGUUUCCACAGCUGAGAGGAGUGGGGUGGCAUGGGGUGAAUCUUAAAGAAGAGGCACAGAGAGGUUCCCCCUUGGCUGGGGACACGCCGCAAGGUGGCCGUGUGGAAGGGAGCGGGUUUGCUGACUCUCAAAUCAGGGAGAGCUCUCGAGGUUGGAGCACACCCCAUCUCAGACAAGGCUGCUGAAGGCCAAGGUCAAGGUCAAGAUCAGGAGCCAACACAGAAAGGCAAUCCUCCUUUCCCAGAAGCAGAGCAGAGGAGAAGCGCACCCCCAACCAGCCUGGACCCUGCCACUGGACUGUAGUGGUCAGGACCUCAAGAGCUGAGCACUGAUGGGCUCCAGGAUGGGCUCCCCAAAAGGCUUUUGGACAGAGGGACCGGGAAGCACCAGCCUUAGUCUCUUUGCCUGCUGGAGGACUGGGGCUCAUGGAGACAAGAGAAGCUGAGGGAGGAGGCCGUGGACUUCCUCUUUCCUGUUGAUAAGCUUCUUCUUAGAGUGGCCCCAUCCAGCAGCGUUCAUUCUCCAGAGAAAAGCUCAGCAGGAAGACGCCUCAGUCAGGGCUGUGUCCACGGUGCUCUCAGCACUUCAAGGACUUUUCUCCUCAGAAGGAGGUGCAGGAGGAUUCAAGUCUCCUUGCUCCCACCAGUGCAAAAAGCAGCUUUCUGUGCAAAUGGCUUACAUCAAUCUUUUGGGGGAAGGAGAGCGUGUUGGGAAGAGCCGGUUCCCACACAGAAAGCAGAAGGCGCCCUGAGUGCUGGCUACCGACCUGUGGUCACUCUUACAUCCAGCCCCCUGAGAAGCUGAUUUAUAGAAGACCCACGUUGACAGGAGACGGCCGACACUGCAGGACACGGGGGUCCUUCUACCUGCUUGUGGAUGCCUUUGUCCUGGUUGGUCAGUUAAUACACUAUCACUUCCUUCAACCCUGCAGACUCUCUCCAGAGGAUUGUGUGUGUGCACGUCCACACACCCCUCGACCCACCCAGCCCCCAGCUGGUUGCUGUAUUUAGUGAGGUUGACUUUAAACAAUACCGAAGAACCUCACGUAGAAAUUCCCCAACUAAGGGACAGGAAUCCGAUACUGUUGCAACAGCCUGUGGCUCAGGUUCAUGUGCAGGCACUUUCCUUCACUCACCAGCAGUAUAAAAUGUUUACACGGAAAGGGUGAAAAGCCCCCAGCUUCUCUGUUCAGUGCUAAUGACGCUGGAGGAGUUCCUGGGACGUGUGGAGAGCCAUCAAAGGCAGGCCACGAGAGACCCAGCCAGCCUGGUCCCCAGGUCUUGAGUGAUGGUGCACGCAGAAGGCUGCAUCAGAACCCUCGUGGAACGCGCCAGCAAGAAAGAACCUCUGGCAGCCACCCACUGAGCCCAUGGAGGACUCCACCGCCCUCCUUGGAGGCCGCCUCACCCGCUGCGCAGCAGGAAGCUGACAGCUGGUCCUGCCGGUGGGUGGGUGCGUGCUGUGCGCCCUCCUGCCCGGACGCUUUGAGGGCGUGCUGUCUUUGAUUCACACUCGCUUCCGGAGAGGAGGAAGGACAUGGACCACCAGGAAGCCCGUGUUUAGUCUCUGGAUGUCGACCACCCAGCCAGGCGGAACUGCGUUCCUAAACCGGGCAGGGUGGAGCCCACGAUGUGGGCCAAAGUUAUGGGAGCAAACGCCCCCCACCCCACCCGCUCGGCAAAGACCACCCGCUAGGCCGCUGGGCCUCGGACUGCCAGCCCCAUCCUCCGAACUAAUCCAGGAUGGUCUUGCUGCAGCUCAGGAGAUCCUUCUGCAGCUCUUUGAACCCUGGCCAGGGUGGGAAGACAGCAGAGGGAUUCCGGGAGGAAGGAUGUCCAGCUCCUCCCAAAGAGGAACGUGGGGAGGAAAAGGCUGAUGGAUUCAGAGAGACUUGCCCAUCCUUGAACAUCGCCAGCUUGUCACUAAUUUGGGUGUCGCAGCCAUGUGAUGGGGCCAGUGCCACGCUCCCAGGAGAAUCUGUUGAGGAGAUGCUGAUAACGGUGGACGGCAAGUGGAAAUCGACAUCACUGGGCGGGGACCGCAGGCUAGUCCUGGGCUCUCUAGAGGGGCUGAUGGGGAAGCAGGCUCUCACACCCUUUCCCUGAGCCGUCCCGAUGGGGGCAGGCGGGGUGGGCACUGGCUCCAGCACGGUGGGCACUGGCUUCCUGGCCUGCUCGGCCCCCUCAGUGUCUUUCAUGCUGAUUGGUUGUGACAGGAGCGAGCUCAGCCCCAGAACGUGGUAAUGAGCGCAGUCAGCGGGCAAUUUGCAUCGAUUUCAGUUCCUUGGGAGGCGAGUUGCAGCAGGAGCCAGCGGUGGCAGAAGAGCAUCUGCAGGCCGUCCUCCCCCAGCGAGACCAGGUGCUGGUAGAAGCGUAGGUGUGUCAGCCGAAGCAGCUCCCGCAGAUUUCAGACUAUUCUGUGGCACAGCCCAGGGCAAGGCAGAGUGUAGCACCAUGUGGGCUGUGUCUGACGCCCUGUCCUUCCUGGGAGUGCAAGCGGAUCAUCCACAGAACCCCCGCCCAACCACUUUCCGCUCGGAUGGCUGGGAUCCAUCACCUUUCAGAGCUGAUUUAGAGUGGGGGGGCGGUUUCUGAACCCCAGGAUGCUCGAUUCCGGCACUUAAGGUCACCACCCAGUGACGCGGGACAAGAUGGAGGCUAUUUCUGGCAGCGCCUGGCUGGGGCUGCUGACCUCACCAGAGCCGUCGGAAAAUCAAUCUCCAGCAGUCACGAGUCACCGGGCCACGGGCUGCAUGAGCCCAUCAGGGCCGAAUCCGGUCAGACCCCAUAAUUGCCUCCCCAGGUACUGUGGAAACCUGACAUCAUGGCGGCUCCGAGGGUGGGCAGGCUGGGCCGGGGGAUCUUGGGGCAGGGGCUCGGUGACUCACAGGCCCCUUCCCACACAAGUGGCCCAUUGUUCCUGCUCGAGACAGCCGCUGGGGUGGCACGGGGCCCUUGUAGGAACUCAUUCUGAGGAUCCUUCUCAACUGGCCAGUUUCUCCACCCUGUGGCCCACAGCAGGGUCAAGUCCAGGCGUGCAGCUGACCCCUCCCUCAGGACACUCCCCACCCCCGCCCAGGUGUCCUCUGUUCCAGUCCACGCCUCCCUGCUCCCGCUCCCUCGUCCUCACACCCUCCGCUGUGCUCUCCCUUCCAGUCUUCAGUGGCCCUAUGACAGUUAGUCCAUGGCCCUGGCAUUCGAGGCCCCGCAUCCAGCUCUGCCCUCACUGCAUCUGGUCCAACAAGACCAGGCCACACAGUGUCACUGCCCAGAACUCUGUGCUCAGCAAAGUCUUGGCAGUGCCCAGGGCCAGACCCUACGCAACAGGGAGUCAGCCUGGUCCCCCUGCCUUCCUUCCCGUCUCGGUCACCAGGGCCCUUUCUGUAUCGCUCCCCUGUACCCAGCAUCCUCUCCCCGCGCUGUCAGCUUUCAGGCCGAGGCGCUCUCCUGGACUGGGUGCUGAGACCAGGCCACAGAGCCCGGCACCUGGCACCUGGCAGGUGCCUGGACACACAGGUGCUGUGAAGAGUGACGAGUGAACACUCCUGGCACCGGCUUGCCCAGCUUUGCCUGUCCCCGCCCCAGCGUUUAGUGCUGCCUGGAGCCCUGGCUGUGUUGGACCCUGGCAGGGAGCAGCCCAGACGGACCUGAAGACCUGUCUGAUAAAGCACAGGACCAGCUGCGAUGGGCCCUCUCUCCUCACCCUGCGACGGAGCCUGGGCUGGGA